AAAAAUCUUUUGCUCACUCCUGUACGUUUGCACAUACACUAUAUAUGUCUAGAAACAUCCAUUUAUCACCAUAUCUCUAUGCAUAAUCUCAAAGUGUUAUAGUGUUAUUUCAAUUUUCUUCACUGUAAAUGAACAAUUUUUGUUCCCUUCAUCUUACAGUGGGUUACGAUUGUAGGUUUGUUCAUCUUUCAGUAUUCGCUUAUUUUUUAUUCUCACUUUUUUAUUUUCUUUUUCAAUCCUUGCCUUUUGGGGGUUCUUUUUGGAUAGAGUGAUCGAGAGAUAAAAGCGAUAUCUUUCCUUCAAAAAGCUAUAUAACUAUGUCGAAUUGUCCUCUACUUCGGUACUAACGCAAUUGUUGAUCAUCUAGCCUCUGAUGUGUUUAUUAUAUCCAAACCAGUUUCUUCCUUCUUUACCAUUCAGUCUCUGCUGCAUGCUCAAGGUAAUUUUGACAUUUAAUUUUUGGUCAUAAAUUUUCCACUUUUGCUUUAGAAUUUGAGUUGUUUCGUUGUUUACUAAAAUGUGUGUGCUUUAUGUUAGAUUAUUUCACUUAGGGGUUGUUUAUAUUGUGCAAAUUGGGUUUCUUCCUAGAAAGGGUAAGUUUUAUACUGUUAUUAAUGUACUGAAAAUGGUAUGGUUUAUAUUUGAUUUUCUCAUUCGGGAGUUGUUUACUGUAAAGGAUACUUUCAGUUUUUGUGAUCUCACUUAGAAUUUGUUUAUAUUGUGUAAAUGUUGGUUUCUUUUGCUACUUUGUAUUAUAUUUUAUAUGGUUCCUUAUUUAUCCUGCUAAUUUGAUAAUAGUUUUGUUGUAUUAGGAAUUUGAAAUCACUGUAUGAAAAUAUAUAUGGGGGUUAUCCAUCGACUUUGAGGAUUUAUUUCACGAGUAGACUUAUUGUGACACAUCAUUCAAAAUUAGAACAUACUUGAGGUCUUACAACUUAUUAAGACUAAUUCGUGUAGUGAAAUUUCCAAGCCACUUAUAUAUAUUAGUAGAGUAAAGUGAUUUUUAAAAGAAGUGUUUCAAAAUGAGAAUUUUACUUGACAUCAUUUUCUCUAUUUCAUCAAAAGUUAUCUUAUUUUUGUUGGAGUAUAUGUUUCUUUAUUAGCUUUUAUAUUUUCUUCACCGUUAUUUUAACUUUACAUAUCUCUUUGAGUUGAUUUACUUGAUUCGAGGGUCCUUUCAGAACAACCUCUCUAUCGCCCCAAGAUAGGGGUAAGGUUUGCCAACACUUUAUCCUCCUCAGACCCCACUUGUCGGAUAUCAUUGGUUAUGUUGUUGUUGAACUGGAAAAAUGUUUAAUAAACAGUUGGAGUUAGUAACUCAUUUAACCUAGGUAUCCACUAAAUUCAGCCUCUGAGUUAGAAAAAUAGAGAUGAGCCAUCUGAAUCUAUAGUCUUGCGUCUACUGCAUGAUUAAUGAUUGUCUUGAAUCUAAUAACAUUAGAGUGUGUAGUAAGGAUUGUGAUUAUAGGUUCGCGAUGUACCACUAGUCGCUCAAUGUCAAUUUUAUAGGGAUCAUAUGGCCUUGUUCCAUGGAAGAAAAUAAAACAAAAUGUGGUUGCACUGUCGGUACAACCAUAGUUAGAUAAUGUAUUAGUUGAAAAA